rnacentral:rRNA from 1 species
AGCGAACGCUGGCGGCAGGCCUAACACAUGCAAGUCGAACGAACUCUUCGGAGUUAGUGGCGGACGGGUGGGUAACACGUGGGAACGUGCCUUUAGGUUCGGAAUAACUCAGGGAAACUUGUGCUAAUACCGAAUGUGCCCUUCGGGGGAAAGAUUUAUCGCCUUUAGAGCGGCCCGCGUCUGAUUAGCUAGUUGGUGAGGUAAAGGCUCACCAAGGCGACGAUCAGUAGCUGGUCUGAGAGGAUGAUCAGCCACAUUGGGACUGAGACACGGCCCAAACUCCUACGGGGGGCAGCAGUGGGGAAUCUUGCGCAAUGGGCGAAAGCCUGACGCAGCCAUGCCGCGUGAAUGAUGAAGGUCUUAGGAUUGUAAAAUUCUUUCACCGGGGACGAUAAUGACGGUACCCGGAGAAGAAGCCCCGGCUAACUUCGUGCCAGCAGCCGCAGUAA